rnacentral:lncRNA from 1 species
AACGGAAUCUAAGUAUCAUGGUGAAUUCAGUAGGUUCCCAAUAGGAUUCGCAUGUAAUAAGCUUGUUAUUUAAGAUAGAGCAACGUUUUAACGAACUGAAACACUGUUUCUUUGUGAAUUCAUUAGUUCCCAGUAGCAGGCUCUUGUAAUAUGUGUACUUUUAAAGAUUUAAUCACAAUUUCUUGUGUCGAAUCUCAAUAACUUGUUUAAUUCAGUUAGUUCCCAAUCGGCCGCAAUAGUAAUAAAUAGAGUUUAGGGAUAUAGAAAAAUUUUCACGAAUGGAAUCAAAAUUUCUAUGCGAAUUCAGUGAGUUCGCAAUGGGACAUGCUUUUAUGAGUGUGCUUUUCAA